rnacentral:rRNA from 1 species
GACGUAGGGGGCAAGCGUUAUUCGGAAUUAUUGGGCGUAAAGCGCUCGUAGGCGGGACUGGAAGUCCGUGUUGAAAGACCUCGGCUCAACUGAGGGACCGGCUCGGAUACUCUAGUUCUUGAGGCAAUCAGAGGGUGAUGGAAUUCCCGGUGUAGCGGUGAAAUGCGUAGAUAUCAGGAGGAACACCGGUGGUGUAAACGGCUUUCUGGACCAUAACUGACGCUGAGGCACGAAAGCGUGGGUAGCAAACAGG